rnacentral:rRNA from 1 species
CCUACGGGGGGCAGCAGUGGGGAAUAUUGGACAAUGGGGGGAACCCUGAUCCAGCCAUGCCGCGUGUGUGAAGAAGGCCCUCGGGUUGUAAAGCACUUUCAGUGAGGAAGAACGCCUGGUGGUUAAUACCCAUCAGGAAAGACAUCACUCACAGAAGAAGCACCGGCUAACUCCGUGCCAGCAGCCGCGGUAAUACGGAGGGUGCGAGCGUUAAUCGGAAUUACUGGGCGUAAAGCGCGCGUAGGUGGCUUGAUAAGCCGGUUGUGAAAGCCCCGGGCUCAACCUGGGAACGGCAUCCGGAACUGUCAAGCUAGAGUGCAGGAGAGGAAGGUAGAAUUCCUGGUGUAGCGGUGAAAUGCGUAGAGAUCGGGAGGAAUACCAGUGGCGAAGGCGGCCUUCUGGACUGACACUGACACUGAGGUGCGAAAGCGUGGGUAGCAAACAGGAUUAGAUACCCCAGUAGUC